UACGAAGGGGGCUAGCGUUGUUCGGAAUCACUGGGCGUAAAGGGCGCGUAGGCGGCUUUGUAAGUCGGGGGUGAAAGCCUGUGGCUCAACCACAGAAUUGCCUUCGAUACUGCAUGGCUUGAGACCGGAAGAGGUUAGUGGAACUGCGAGUGUAGAGGUGAAAUUCGUAGAUAUUCGCAAGAACACCAGUGGCGAAGGCGGCUGACUGGUCCGGUUCUGACGCUGAGGCGCGAAAAGCGUGGGGAGCAAACAGG
rnacentral:rRNA from 1 species